rnacentral:rRNA from 1 species
CCUACGGGCGGCAGCAGUGGGGAAUAUUGCACAAUGGGGGAAACCCUGAUGCAGCGACGCCGCGUGAGUGAAGAAGUAUUUCGGUACGUAAAGCUCUGUCAGCAGGGAAGAAAGCAAUGACGGUACCUGACCAAGAAGCCCCGGCUAACUACGUGCCAGCAGCCGCGGUAAUACGUAGGGGGCAAGCGUUAUCCGGAAUUACUGGGUGUAAAGGGAGCGUAGACGGCUGUGCAAGUCUGCGGUGAAAGGCGGGGGCCCAACCCCCGGACUGCUCGGGAAACUGUAUGGCUGGAGUGCAGGAGAGGGAAGCGGAAUUCCUAGUGUAGCGGUGAAAUGCGUAGAUAUUAGGAGGAACACCAGUGGCGAAGGCGGCUUACUGGACUGUAACUGACGUUGAGGCUCGAAAGCGUGGGGAGCAAACAGGAUUAGAUACCCUUGUAGUC